AGUGAACGCUGGCGGUAGGCCUAACACAUGCAAGUCGAACGGCAGCACAGUAAGAGCUUGCUCUUACGGGUGGCGAGUGGCGGACGGGUGAGGAAUACAUCGGAAUCUACUUUUUCGUGGGGGAUAACGUAGGGAAACUUACGCUAAUACCGCAUACGACCUACGGGUGAAAGCAGGGGAUCUUCGGACCUUGCGCGAUUGAAUGAGCCGAUGUCGGAUUAGCUAGUUGGCGGGGUAAAGGCCCACCAAGGCGACGAUCCGUAGCUGGUCUGAGAGGAUGCACAGCUACGGGGGAUGGGAGCACCGUGCCGGACUUAGAGGGGAGGGUGUAGGGGGUAAUAGUGGACAAUGGGGCUAAGCCGAGUCCAGCAAUGCGGCGUGGGUGAAGAAGGCCUGCGGGUUGUAAAGCUUUUUUGUUGGGAAAGAAAAGCAGGAGGUUCCUACCACACUGUUCGGACGCUACCAAAAGACUACGCACCGGCUAACUGCGUGCCAGAAGCCGGUGUAAUAAUCGAAAGAGCACGCGUCUGAC
rnacentral:rRNA from 1 species